CGCAGACGACGCUGGCGGCAUGCCUAAUACAUGCAAGUCGAGCGGAGUUAUUUUGAAAGCUUGCUUUCAAAAUAACUUAGCGGCGGACGGGUGAGUAACACGUAGGCAACCUGCCCUCAAGACUGGGAUAACUACCGGAAACGGUAGCUAAUACCGGAUAAUUUCUUUUUUCUCCUGAAGAGAGAAUGAAAGGCGGAGCAAUCUGCUACUUGGGGAUGGGCCUGCGGCGCAUUAGCUAGUUGGUGAGGUAACGGCUCACCAAGGCGACGAUGCGUAGCCGACCUGAGAGGGUGAACGGCCACACUGGGACUGAGACACGGCCCAGACUCCUACGGGAGGCAGCAGUAGGGAAUCUUCCGCAAUGGGCGAAAGCCUGACGGAGCAAUGCCGCGUGAGUGAUGAAGGUUUUCGGAUCGUAAAGCUCUGUUGCCAGGGAAGAACGUCCGGUAGAGUAACUGCUACCGGAGUGACGGUACCUGAGAAGAAAGCCCCGGCUAACUACGUGCCAGCAGCCGCGGUAAUACGUAGGGGGCAAGCGUUGUCCGGAAUUAUUGGGCGUAAAGCGCGCGCAGGCGGUCAUUUAAGUCUGGUGUUUAAACCUUGGGCUCAACCUGAGGUCGCACUGGAAACUGGGUGACUUGAGUACAGAAGAGGAAAGUGGAAUUCCACGUGUAGCGGUGAAAUGCGUAGAUAUGUGGAGGAACACCAGUGGCGAAGGCGACUUUCUGGGCUGUAACUGACGCUGAGGCGCGAAAGCGUGGGGAGCAAACAGGAUUAGAUACCCUGGUAGUCCACGCCGUAAACGAUGAGUGCUAGGUGUUAGGGGUUUCGAUACCCUUGGUGCCGAAGUUAACACAGUAAGCACUCCGCCUG
rnacentral:rRNA from 1 species